UACAGAGGUCUCAAGCGUUGUUCGGAUUCAUUGGACGUAAAGGGUGCGUAGGUGGCGAGGUUAGUCAGGUGUGAAAUCUCGGGGCUCAACCCCGAAACUGCACUUGAUACUGCCUUGCUAGAGUACUGGAGAGGAGAUUGGAAUUUACGGUGUAGCAGUGAAAUGCGUAGAUAUCGUAAGGAAGACCAGUGGCGAAGGCGAAUCUCUGGACAGUUACUGACACUGAGGCACGAAGGCCAGGGGAGCAAACGGG
rnacentral:rRNA from 1 species